ensembl:lncRNA
UAACACUGAGGUUUCCAGAUCAAAUGCAAACAAAAAGUAUUAGUUUUCAACAUUUGUAACCACCAUGGCGUCUUCUGGUAAGAGUGAAUGUGUCACAUAUGUCGCUAGGAACAGCUGUUUUCAAAAGUCUUAAGGGUGCAAACCCCUAAAAUAAAAAACUGUGGUGGUCAAUAGGAUUAAUCUCAUGAACCGUUUUUUUACAUUUGUUUUAUUUUAUUUUUCUGAGAAAUUUUCUGUCAAAUUAUAUCAAACAAUUUAAUUUAACAUAUUUAACAAAUUAAGAUUUACCUUUUCAAAUUGCAGAUUAUGGUUGAGGUCGUUACUUUGGUUUUGAUCAGACACCCUGUCCUUGCCCUGCAGCCCGAGGGCGCCCACAUCGCGCUGAACUCUGACCUUAUCAGGAACAACCAAGCAGCAGGGAUGAGAGGAGAAUGUAAAAUGAAAGCAGCUGUAUGCUGAGACGGAAACUUUGAGAGGAGAUGGCAAAAGGAGGGGGCGUUGAAUCUUCAUGAAUGAAAAGAGAAAAAGAAGAGCAGUGAGAAAUUAAGGUGUAUGUAAAUAAAUGGUGGUUGACUGUGCAAAAUAGUUUUUUGUUUUGUUUUUUUUUUUUGUUUUUUUUU